rnacentral:rRNA from 1 species
GGCGUCUAGGCGGUUUUUUAAGUCUGGAGUGAAAGGCGACGGCUCAGCCGUCGACGCGCUUCGGAAACUGGGGGACUUGAGGGCAGGAGAGGCGAGCGGAAUUCCCGGUGUAGCGGUGAAAUGCGUAGAGAUCGGGAAGAACACCAGUGGCGAAGGCGGCUCGCUGGACUGGCCCUGACGCUGACGCGCGAAAGCGUGGGGAGCGAACGGGAUUAGAUACCCCGGUAGUCCACGCCGUAAACGAUGGGCACUAGGUGUGGGAGGUAUCGACCCCUCCCGUGCCGGAGUUAACACACUAAGUGCCCCGCCUGGGAAGUACGGCCGCAAGGUUGAAACUCAAAGGAAUUGACGGGGGCCCGCACAAGCAGUGGAGCAUGUGGUUUAAUUCGACGCAACGCGAAGAACCUUACCCGGGCUUGACAUCCCCGGAACACCCGAGAGAUCGGGUGGCUCUACGGAGCCGGGAGACAGGUGCUGCAUGGUUGUCGUCAGCUCGUGUCGUGAGAUGUUGGGUUAAGUCCCGCAACGAGCGCAACCCUUGUCCCGUGUUACCAGCGUAAAGGCGGGGACUCACGGGAGACUGCCGGUGACAAACCGGAGGAAGGUGGGGAUGACGUCAAAUCAUCAUGGCCCUUAUGUCCGGGGCUACACACGUGCUACAAUGGCCGGCGCAGCGGGAUGCGAAGGGGCGACCCGGAGCGAAUCCCUGAAAGCCGGUCCCAGUUCGGAUCGCAGGCUGAAACCCGCCUGCGUGAAGCCGGAAU